rnacentral:rRNA from 1 species
GGCGGACGGGUGGAGUAACGCGUGGGUAACCUGCCUCACACAGGGGGAGUAACAGUUGGAAACGACUGUUAAUACCGCAUAAGCGCACAGUACCGCAUGAUACAGUGUGAAAAACUCCGGUGGUGUGAGAUGGACCCGCGUCUGAUUAGCUAGUUGGCGGGUAACGGCCCACCAAGGCGACGAUCAGUAGCCGGCCUGAGAGGGUGAACGGCCACAUUGGGACUGAGACACGGCCCAAACUCCUACGGGAGGCAGCAGUGGGGAAUAUUGCACAAUGGGGGAAACCCUGAUGCAGCGAACCGCCGCGUGAGCGAUGAAGUAUUUCGGUAUGUAAAGCUCUAUCAGCAGGGAAGAUAAUGACGGUACCUGACUAAGAAGCACCGGCUAAAUACGUGCCAGCAGCAGC